rnacentral:rRNA from 1 species
AUAGCUUGACACUGAACAUUGAGCCUUGAUGUGUAGGAUAGGUGGGAGGCUUUGAAGUGUGGACGCCAGUCUGCAUGGAGCCGACCUUGAAAUACCACCCUUUAAUGUUUGAUGUUCUAACGUGGACCCGUUACCCGGGUUGCGGACAGUGUCUGGUGGGUAGUUUGACUGGGGCGGUCUCCUCCUAAAGAGUAACGGAGGAGCACGAAGGUUGGCUAAUCCUGGUCGGACAUCAGGAGGUUAGUGCAAUGGCAUAAGCCAGCUUGACUGCGAGCGUGACGGCGCGAGCAGGUGCGAAAGCAGGUCAUAGUGAUCCGGUGGUUCUGAAUGGAAGGGCCAUCGCUCAACGGAUAAAAGGUACUCCGGGGAUAACAGGCUGAUACCGCCCAAGAGUUCAUAUCGACGGCGGUGUUUGGCACCUCGAUGUCGGCUCAUCACAUCCUGGGGCUGAAGUAGGUCCCAAGGGUAUGGCUGUUCGCCAUUUAAAGUGGUACGCGAGCUGGGUUUAGAACGUCGUGAGACAGUUCGGUCCCUAUCUGCCGUGGGCGCUGGAGAACUGAGGGGGGCUGCUCCUAGUACGAGAGGACCGGAGUGGACGCAUCACUGGUGUUCGGGUUGUCAUGCCAAUGGCACUGCCCGGUAGCUAAAUGCGGAAGAGAUAAGUGCUGAAAGCAUCUAAGCACGAAACUUGCCCCGAGAUGAGUUCUCCCUGAGACUUUAGGUCUCCUGAAGGAACGUUGAAGACGACGACGUUGAUAGGCCGGGUGUGUAAGCGCAGCGAUGCGUUGAGCUAACCGGUACUAAUGAACCGUGAGGCUUAACCUUACAACGCCG